ensembl:lncRNA
UGGCUAAUGGGCCGAGCUGCCGAGGCACAAGUUCAUAUCGGCUCCUUUUGUUCACCGCGUCUUUCUGCCUCGCUUAUGAUUUAUUGUAUGUUUUGUCCUUUUUCUCUGUUUUCGUUUGUGUGAAGCAUCAGGAGCAAAAAGCCACUUGCCGCGUUUUUCAGCUUUAUUUUCUUUCUGCUCGUCUCUUUGUGUGAAUAUUUUACGCUUUGAAGAUGAGACACGGGGGCCGCAGAAACGCAUCAAAUCAAACCGCCCACAGACCUCAGAACCGACGCCACGCUCGGCCCCUAACGGAGAGGUGAAGCGCUUUCUAUUCAUCUCGUCUGACCGUAAUACGUGACUUACAGGUCACGGAUUUUUACGUGACCUGUAAGUGGAUUUCUCUGCCCCCCCCGGGGGGUCCUUACGUUAAAUGGUAAACCUGGAGAUGGAACCGCGGUCCUCCGCCUGAGGCGUGACCUCGUCCUCCGCCUGAGGCGUUGUACUCCCGCUGAACACUUACUACAGUACUACAGUACCUCGAUAUUCGCCGUUUGUACACGUCUGUGCGGUAGAUGACCUGUUAACCCCCAGCUGAGCAGGUGUGGUAAUUGAAACGACGAGAGGAGCCGGAGAAAAAACGAGAUUCGUGUUACGUGUGAGAAGUAGAUCGACAGGCGGCUCCUCACCGAUCCGACGGUGUUUGUACUUCUUCAUGCUUCAUGUUUCUGACAUUCACGCUGACAUUUCAAGAGAAAAUGUAAUAAAACGCUUAUGUUUGAUUUCUAUUAUGAAUCCGAUUGAAAAAUGGAGAAAUUCUUCGAGACGCUCGACGUUGCAGGAACUGAUCGGGAGGACCGGCUGGAGAAGACCCGCGACUGGAAGAAGGGGUCAAAGGUCAGAGGAGCUCAUGCUGCAGGUCUCCAGCCGCUCUGCACACAUUAAAGUUACCAACUCUAUAAAUAUCCGCCUCGUUCAUCGUGGACGGUUUGGUCCUCACGGAAAUAUUGGAAUAUUACAACGAGGAGAAGACGUCCACGGGAACGUCUCUGGAGAGAACGAGGAGAAGACGUCCACGGGAACGUCUCUGGAGAGAACGAGGAGAAGACGUCCACGGGAACGUCUCUGGAGAGAAUGAUGAGAAGACGUCCACGGGAACGUCUCUGGAGAGAACGAGGAGAAGACGUCCACGGGAACGUCUCUGGAGAGAAUGAUGAGAAGACGUCCACGGGAACGUCUCUGGAGAGAACGAGGAGAAGACGUCCACGGGAGGUGUCAGGGAUGUUGCGUAUGGAAAAAGGCAGGACUCAAACACAGAGUUCGAAAACAAAAAGGACUUUAAUAGUCAAAACGGGCAAAAACACACAGGAACAGGGGGCAUAAAGGCAGACAGGAGCGAGGGACAUCCAGGACGAUUGACAACGACGCGACAAGUGACACAAGAGACACACGGCUUAAAUACACUAGGGAGGUGCAGGUGAUUGGACACAGGUGGAAACGAUCAGACAAUCACAGGGGACGACAGGACCAGGCAGGAAGUGAAGUUACCCGGGGACAAGAAGCAGAAAACUAAACUAAAACCACACCGUGACAGGAGAGACAGACAAAGUCACACACAUGAUAAACUCAGCCGAACAAUUUCUCUCACACACACACUCACGCACACACACACACACUAUCAGGUCACGGACCAUCAGAAGAAAUGCAGCGAUGCCACGACGUCCUCAGCGAACUGCAGACAGACAGAGACAGAAAUGUCCCCCUCAGCUGUGUGUGCAGGCUUCUUACAAACAGGAGAACUGGGGACCUGAACUGGUGUCACAAUCACACUGAGACGAGCGCACACACACACACACGCACGCACACACACACGCACACACACACGCACCCACACACGCACACACACACGCACACACACACGCACAGCGAUGGGUCAGUGGAAUGGAGUCCUCUCGCUCUUUCCUUUUGUAUCGAGCGGAUGAGAAACAAGUGCAAACAGGAUCCGCUCAGAUCGACAUUGAUCUGGUUUCUCUGCUUGUGACUCCGUGUUUGUGUCUGUUUGCCGUCAUCACUUUGUCUCACUGGGUGUGUGUUCCACACGCGUGUGCCUCACAAUCCCCACGUGUUCCUGCCCGUGCACGCAGGUGUGUGUUUGUGUGUUUUCAUUCCACUAAUGGCUAGGAGUGUGUGUGUGUGUGUGUGGUCACGGUUGUGCGUGUUAUGUUGUAUCAACGGAUGCAUGUGUGUAUUCCGUGAGUCUCUGUAGGCAACAAAUGAUUGUUGAAGGUCACAUCCAAUCAGGAGCAAGGCUGCCUGGAUAGAACGAGAUGCAUGGAGAUGUAUGCAGGGCAGGGAUUCAAACAUAUAUGUUUCAAUUCACAUAUAUGUUUAUAUGCACAUGAAUGUGUAUAUAUUAGUUUUUUGUUUGGUACUUCUGAUACCAAAUUGUAAUUUAAUCCAGUCAGAAGUUCGGACACUUUCUCACUUAUUCGAAUGAGAAAAUGUCCACAGAGAAGAUUAAAGCACGAGAGGGAACUUUCUGUACGCUGCCGCCACAAGAACUCACCACACAACGCGAUCAUCAGGGUUGCAUCUCUAGUUCAAAGUAUUCUGUGCAACUGUCAGGGAAUUGACAUUAAUAAUAACCCUUCUGGACUCGAUGUUUCUACCCAUUAGUGAACAAAGCAGCGAGGACUCGUACCAUGGUUUGAUAUUAAAUACUACAAUCCAAUUCUUCUAUAUAUAUAUUUCUUGUCUUAAUUGAUUCUCACUAAAGAAGCGUUUGCAGGUCGUCGCUCUGCUUCCCCGGAGGAGCAGGAUGAAGUUCUUUCACCCUGAACCUUCACGUUGUUGCUGGUGGUGACUUUGCAUUUGUCAGGUUUCUCUCGGCUUCCUGUCGUACAUUCAGUCUGAAGGCUCCUUCCUUCACGGAUUGUAAGUGUGGCUCCAUAUUUCUGCGUGAUUAAAUGUGUGUUUGCGUAGGAGGAGGAGGAAGAGGAGGAGGAGGAGGAAGAGGGAGGUCAUAACCCAUUACUCACAGCUCUCUGUGUUUACUCUCAUCUAAUAGGAAAAACAACAUUGAUGCUUCCACCACAUUAUAAAUCGAUAUAUUACUCAAACGAGUUAUAAAUCAGGCUGCCGUGGCUUCGCCGGAGCAAUGGACUCUUCUGCAUUGAUUCCUUCACAGAUUUAAUAACAGCGUAGAGGAUCACUGGGCUGCAAUGUGAAGUGGAUGUAAUCACACCUCGGCCCAUUAAACGGGCCUCUGGCCUGGUGCUCGGUCGGCUGCCGGCCUCCGGGGGCCUCCGGGGGCCUCGGCCUGUGAACACCAUCGUUGCUUGGUGCGCGUCCGGGACGUCCCCGAUAUCGCUGAUAACUCAAAUCCCCGGGAGGACGCGUUCUCGGCAUCGAGCGUCGACUCAAAAUACGCAAUCAUGUCGUGAUUUAAUAGAAAAUAAUCGGACGAAAAGGAUCGUUUUUGUGACGGUGUGCGAGGAAGUUCUUCCCCCUCGUUGUUCUCCUGGUAGCCUCUGGUCAAAACGCAACCAAGCCACUGAGUACGUGAACCGAUCCAAAUAUCACUAAAGUCAUCGACACAAGCGCUUAACGGAAUAACACAGCGGCAUUUGUGCUCAUGACUGAUCAGCGAUCUGACAUCCACAUGUGGCCGUGGCUCAAAUCUCAUCUCAUCUCUAAUGAGGAGAAACGUGUUCACGUGGAUCACAAGCAGAACGCAGAUGUUUCCCUCAGGAGGCGCGAUGACAACAACAACAACAACAACAACAAAACGAGGAGAAAACUGUCACUUCAAACAACGUAUGUGGAGAUAAUUAGCAAACCCAAACAUUUUGGACACCUCGCCAAUCGUCUUUCAUGUCGGUGUUCCAGAGAAGUGGAGACAGAUUGAGGGAUGCAGAUAGAUGGAGAGACUCACUCUGGAGGUCCAACGCUGCAACGCAGAUGCUGGUUUAUUAUGUUUCAUAUUGGAUCUUUUUAAAAUUUCACUCACUGAAAAGAGAUGAAUGUCUCUGCUUCAUUUCACAUAAAAGAUGUUUCAUUAGUCCGUGAAGAACGUCUGCGUUUUGUGUCUUGAAACAAAAGGUGGACGUGGAGCUUUAAGGUCGGCGAGGACACGUCGUCGCUAAUCUGAUUGGACGUCGAGUCUGUGAGUGUGAGGAAUCGGUUCCUUCCUCCCCGAGUAGCUGUGAAUGAACCCAAAGAUCAACAUGACAUCUUAAUUUCCCCAGCGUGUUUCUCUUCAAUCUCCGUCACUCGCCCUUUAUUCUGCCUUUAAGUCCCACUGUCGCUCUCGCUCUUUGUCUCUCACGCACUGAUUCGCAGUCUGUUUCCGUCCUGCCACUCAAACUGAAAACCACACGGCCGCCUGUCCGGCCAAGGCUCGAAGCUAACGGUGCUAACGGCACUUAUGGUGGCAACGGUGCUAACGGCGCUUAUGAAGGUAACGGUGCUAACGGGACUUAUGGCGAUAACGGCGCUUAUGGAGGUAACGGUGCUAACGGCACUUAUGGAGGUAACGGCGCUUAUGGAGGUAACAGUGCUAACGGCACUUAUUGAGGUAACGGUGCUAACAGGGCUUAUGGAGGUAACGGUGCUAACGGCACUUAUGGAGGUAACGGUGCUAACGGCGCUUAUGAAGGUAACAGUUCGCCCGCUCAUCUCAUGUUUAAUGCGACUUCUCUGACUGAGCAGAGUUUAUUAAAUCAACGGUUCCUUGCGUCAAGGAGGCCCAUCAGGUCUGAAAGGAGAUCAGUAAUAAACCAAAUGGUAAUUGUGUUGCAUCUCCAUGCCAAUAACUACAGACACAAAAGACGCACAAAAAGCCGACCGAGAGACACACACCAGACAUAAAAAAUGACUGAAUGAAUUCAGAGGUCCAAACUUCUGUAAUAAUAUGCAUCAUGACUACGAGACGCUGUCUCCCUCCCACACUGUCUCUCGCCCUCUUUCUCUCUCUCAGACACAUUUUUCUGGGGGCGAACAAGUUUGCUGCCUUGCUCAAAGGCUUCUAAAGAAGUAAACCACCCACCUUCUGGUCCCUGGCUCCCAGUGGGAGAGAAACACUGAGGGGCGGUGGGGUGGGGGGCUCCCGGGCGACUCCGGAUGUCCAAUUUUUCAUGACUUUAUAAUUUGCAGAAUGUGGCAUUUGAGACUUCCUACGGGGGUGUUUUGUAUUCCCACCAUCACUCUCGCUCUGUGCGCGGUUCGAUUUUUAACAUUUGGCAGCAUAUUAUUCAAUGUGAGCGAAAACAGCGCUCAUAUUUAAUCAUGAACCAACUUCCUAUUCAUGCAAAUGAAUGUUCCACUCUGCUUCCUGCGUCUGAAAUAAAGACCCAUCUGUAUUUUUAUAAAGACGUCUCUGGGUGAAGUAUUCAUUUAUUAGCAUGAACUCACACACACACUGUCCUUCAUUUGGACUCAACACCGUCCUGCUGCCCCACAAACUCACUGAACAAUAAUCACAUCACGUCUGAGAGGAACCCGACGAAAACACCACGGCUCCCGUUUGAGAACUGCAGCGACCAGCGGCUGAAAAUAAGCCUUUUGAAAAAUAAAUAACAAGAUUGAGAUUACAAAUUUGAAUAAUUUCAAUGGAAAAAAAGACGGUUGAAGCUCAUUAAUGUGUCAGUUUUGUUAAAGCUACGAAUGGUAACUUUAGUAAAAAUACACAUUUGCUCACAUUUACUUCGUGAACUGGUCCUGAGAGCAUUACACUCCAGGUGUGAGGUCUCAACCCCGGCGUGGCAGCAGGAGGCCGCGUCCUCCGGAGCCAAUCAGCAGAAUUCUAAACAACUGCGAGGGAGGACGCGUCCCCCCGGAGCCAAUCACCGAAAUUCGGAACACCCACGAGAGGACCUAUAAGAGCAGGCCGACGCAGCGACUGAGUUGUGAGGUAUUAUGACUACGCGUCUUUGCUGAUCCCCUUUGUUUCGCUGCCCCUGAAUUCCCGCGUAUUGACCUUCCGCCUCUCGACCACGAACCUGCCUUCUCCCUGGACCAGGUCCAUCUUUUGCCAUCCCGUGUCCCCGAACCUCUGCCCGUCCCCGGAUUCCCCGUUUAGCCUCAUCCCUUGAGACUACAGUUGCCUGUCGUCCCUAAAUAAACAUUGAGCGCUGUGCUUUUGGGUCUGAGUCGGUCUGCAGAGUCCAUUCCUCACACCAGGGUUAGAACACUUGGGAUUAGAUGUCUCUUUGGGUCAUGAAUCAGAAAACACCAACGAGCAUGUUUUGCU